rnacentral:lncRNA from 1 species
CAGCCGGAAGGUCAGAGGAUGCUUUGAAUCCAGUCCUGGGAUGACUUCACAUCCACGGAGAGGGAUAGAAACAAUGUGCGUCUUCAGAUCUGUCCUGUCCUUGUGGAAAAUGAGUUUAUUGUCUUUCACUCGGCACCAGCGCUCACGCCAACGGUUAUUUGAGAGCACAUUGAGAUAUCCACAUGUUGGAACAUCUUCUUCAGCUGACGAGGUCUGUUCAUCUGUUGAUGGCUUUUUCUUUCCUAAACCAAUGAUCUUCGUUAUUUUUUUCCCUGUUACUUUAGUCACAGUGCCCUUGGCUUCUGUUUUUGAACUUUUUUUCCUCUUCACUUGUUCUUUUCCGUUGCACACUGUGGUGAUGCCAUUUUCCACAGCACCCUCCCCAUCUGAGCUCGGUCUCUCAGAUGACAACUUCUUUUCCAGCUCUGUCUUGUGUACUGGAGAACUAGACAAUGGCCCGUCUGAGUCCACUGUGCCCGUACAGUUGCUGCACACAUCUUUUAUAACCUUUAGCCACUGCUCCGCCUGCUCUUUGCUCUGAACUGCCAGAACUAGUGCAUCCGCUCCUUGGUGAGAGAUUUUCAGCUCAUGUUUCUUCUUUUUGCUGUCUUUGGGGAUGUAGGUGAUGCUACAGUCAUUCAGGAGCAGCUCCAUCUGUGGCUGCUGGUCCUUGGAACUUUUGUAACACAGUAGUUUGUUUUCUUUGAUAACACACAGUAGUUUGGUCCAUUGCCCAAAUCGUUUCUUUCUAAGUAGGAAGGCACAAAUUUUGGCAUCCUUCACCAGAUCCAUAGAGGCCUCCUCAGAAGGCCACUGAUGUCUCAUUUUCUUCCCCUUUCCAUCCUCUUCCUCUUCAUCAUAGGAUUCGUAAGAGCUGCUCAUAGCAUCUGAGUCAUAAUUGGAAGUGAUAUAUUCAGGAGCCUUCCCAGGACUAAGUGGCACUGCCUCUUCAUAAUAGCCUUCGGGAAGGGACGAUGUCGGUAAUGGUGGAGGCCCAUUAUCUGGUGGCAGCCACUGCUGAGGUAUUUCUGGCAGAGGCAUUUGAGGAGGUGCUGGCAGGCUGUUGGCAACUUCUGGUUUCUGCACAUGUUCUUUUAUUUCAAAACCUUUUGAUGACUGUAUCCUCAGGAGAAUGUUAGUUAUUACUGCCUUCUUCUCCCUGACAGUGGAAGUCAGAUAUUCAUGGUCCAGAAGUUCAAGAAACAGUCGCAGCUCAACUAUUAACUCUUCCAUGGCUGCGGGCCGUCCUGCCGCGACCGCGGGCACAAAGCAAACUCCGCGCUGCGCACAGCUGCGCAGCUCAACCAGCAGCGCGCAGGCAGCGCCGCGCAAGGAGCAGGAGGCGG